rnacentral:lncRNA from 1 species
AGUGGCGGACCCAGGAAUAAAUGUCAUUGGGGGCACAACAAUUUUUUUUAAAACAAGAUAUAAUAAAAUAAAAAAUAUAUUAAAUGGCUUGAAAUAAUUUGAGUAAAAGAUGUGCAUAUACGUUGUAGACAUAAAACAAGUUAUAAAGUCGAGAGAGCUUGGCUACUUUUCUUUCAUUCAUGCUUAUACAGUUAUCCAUUAGCAUAAACUUGCAAGGGCAGUAGCUAAGUUAUCUCAAAUAUAAGUUUGGGCCAGAAGUUCACUGGGGGCCCAUGCCCCCACUACAUUGACUGUAGGUCCGCCACUG